rnacentral:tRNA from 1 species
CGCGGGGUGGAGCAGCUUGGUAGCNNGGUAGCUCGUCGGGCUCAUAACCCGAAGGUCGUCGGUUCAAAUCCGGCCCCCGCAACCA